rnacentral:tRNA from 1 species
GCGGUCUUCGUCUAUCGGUUAGGACACCAGCCUUUCACGCUGGGAAGACGGGUUCGAUUCUCGUAGACCGCGCCA